CCCUAGAGAGGGGAUAACAGUUGGAAACGACUUGCUAAUACCCCAUAUGCCUUUAAGACUUAAGUCUGCAAAGGGAAAUAAUUUAUAGCUCUAGGAUCGGCCUGUACGGUAUCAGCUUGUUUGGUGAGGUAAUGGCUCACCAAGGCAAUGACACCUAACUGGUUUGAGAGGAUGAUCAGUCACACUGGAACUGAGACACGGUCCAGACUCCUACGGGAGGCAGCAGUGGGGAAUAUUGCACAAUGGGGGAAACCCUGAUGCAGCAACGCCGCGUGGAGGAUGACACAUUUCGGUGCGUAAACUCCUUUUAUAUAAAAAAGAUAAUGACGGUAAUAUAUGAAUAAGCACCGGCUAACUCCGUGCCAGCAGCCGCGGUAAUACGGAGGGUGCAAGCGUUACUCGGAAUCACUGGGCGUAAAGAGCGUGUAGGCGGGUAGUUAAGUCAGAAGUGAAAUCCUAUAGCUCAACUAUAGAACUGCUUUUGAAACUGAUUACCUAGAAUAUGGGAGAGGUAGAUGGAAUUUCUGGUGUAGGGGUAAAAUCCGUAGGAAUGGAGAAGGAAUACCGAUUGCGUAGGCGAUCUACUGGAACAUUAUUGACGCUGAGACGCGAAAGCGUGG
rnacentral:rRNA from 1 species